rnacentral:rRNA from 1 species
GAGUUUGAUCGUGGCUCAGGACGAACGCUGGCGGCGUGCCUAAUACAUGCAAGUCGAACGAACGGAUAAAGAGCUUGCUCUUUUGAAGUUAGUGGCGGACGGGUGAGUAACAUGUGGGUAACCUGCCUCACAGCUGGGGAUAACAUCGAGAAAUCGAUGCUAAUACCGAAUGUGCUGAACAUCAUAAGAUGUUCAAGUGAAAGACGGUUUCGGCUGUCACUGUGAGAUGGACCCGCGCUGGAUUAGCUAGUUGGGAAGGUAAUGGCUUACCAAGGCGACGAUCCAUAGCCGACCUGAGAGGGUGAUCGGCCACAUUGGGACUGAGACACGGCCCAAACUCCUACGGGAGCAGCAGUAGGGAAUCUUCGGCAAUGGACGAAAGUCUGACCGAGCAACGCCG